AAGGAAGGAGCGCAUUGGUAGAGCUCCCGCUUCAUACGGGGGAAGACCUGGGUUCGAUUCCCGGCUGCUUUC
rfam:Toxocara canis scaffold1060, whole genome shotgun sequence.